CUCUUAAAGAAGCAUCAGGUCACAAACUGACAGUCGAGGGCGUUUGGACAAGAGACAGAGACGGAGACGCACGAUGGUUGAAUUCAGACGGAUUAAAAUGACUUUAUUUGUGAUGCUGCUGCUUCAGGUAACAGCAGUAUCUGGACUAAAUCCCUCCAUCCUCACUGUCAGAGCUGGACAUGACGUCACUUUGACGUGUGGAAAUGUGACAAAACAUCAGGACAAAUGUGACGAUACUACCUGGCUCUACAGUGGUAUUGAGGCCACAGCAACACAAUCUCUGAUUGAAUUAGGACAGAUAAAAAAAGGGAUUUCCAAACCUCUAUCUGACAGACUGAGUUUGACAGAAAAUUGUUCUCUGGUUAUAAAAAGUGUCACACAUGAUGAUGUUGGUCUUUACAGCUGCAGACAGUUCAACAAAUCAGAACAAGUUUCAGACGCUCAGGUUGUUCUGUCUGUUGUUAACAUCACUGAACAUAAGAACGAUGACAUAACCAUCUUGUUCUGCGCUGCGUUGUCAUAUGGAGCGUGUAGAUACACAGUGGAGUGGGUGAAUGAGGGUAAUAAGAAUCACCUGGAGACAUCACAGAGUUCCUGUUCAGCCACUGUGAUAUUUCAAACUCAUGUUGAUCAAAAGUUUCUGAAGUGUAACGUGACAGAUCAUGAGCGUGGGACGAUGCUGCUGUGUGGUGUUGACCUCCAGUCCUCGUGUGAGAAAACAGGAAGCAAAUCAGUGGAAGAAAACAUCCCAUCAACAACAGAACAAGGGUUAAGGUGGUUGUACAUCAUUGGGGCUGUGGGUUUAGCAGCACUAUUAAUAAUCGUUGUUGCCGUCAUCAGACAGAAGAAAACUAAAGGGAACCAAACACAGGGGGGUGAAAGAAUGGGACAGGGACUUAACCCUGCAGUGACGCCGCCCGGUCCAGAACCCAGUCAGGACACGGCGGAUCCUGAAGAAGGUGUUUCCUACGCCUCCAUCAGCUACACCAAUAAGACCGACAGUAAAGCCCAGGUCAGCUGUCUGAUUGGUUACGCAGGUGUUGGUCGUAAAUGACGAAACGGGAAUCUCCAGCCAUGUGGGGCUUUCAGCUAAAAGCAUGCAGCAUGCUAACUACAUCCAUGGUGCUAGCAUGCUCACAAUGGCAAUGCAAACAUGCUAAUGCUAAGCAGGUGCCAUGAUCACUAUCUUAGAUAAGCAUCUUAGCAUGCUAACAUUUGCUGAUUAGCAUUAAACACAAAGUACAGCUGCAGUCGUCACCAAAGACCAUAACAUUCAUUUAUUCACUAUGUUGUGUUUAUGUAUGUUUUUAUUGUAUUGCAAUUCAUUGUAUUGUGUUUUUUAAUGUCAGGAUGCUGCUGUGCACCGUUAGCUUUCAUCGUGUUGAAUCAUUUCCAUGUGUUUCUCUCUCGUUUCCCAGGGUCAGAGUAAAGAGGAUGAUGAAGAUGAUGCCGUGACCUACAGCACUGUGAAAGCUUCUUCUUCUUCUUCUUCUGCUGGAGCGGCGGCGGAUCUCAGCAACCUCUACGCUACCGUCGACAAACCCAACAAAUAAGAGGCCACAGUAUAGUUACAGCUCAUGUCGUUACUCUGAUUUUACUUUGAUAUCUAAUAAGAAAACCAAGUCUGCAGUGCCUUUAAUCCACUCACUGUGUCACUGAUAUGUAAUGAGCACACAAGCAAAAUUGUCUCUGCAGUCAAAAUCCUGGAGAACAUUUAAUAUUUAAUAAUAUUUUGUACAUAAUGCUCUUACCAGAUACAAUACAUUGUUAUUGAUACAUGAAGGAAGCUCAGCUGCAUCUGCUCUUUGUAGUGUUUUAAUAUCUUUUUGCAUUUCAGUUCUUACAUGAACACGUUUUGUUUUGUUUUACAAUUAUUUGUAUGAUCAUUUUCAGGAUUUAUUGCUAUAAUAAGAUGUUCUCUGAAGGGGGUGUAGUAACUUAACUAGCACCACAGCGUAAAAAGUAGAUGUGAGAUAAUAUAAAUGAGAAAAUGUGAAUAACAUAUGAUAACAUAUUUUCCUUUGUAAACGGGCUUAAUAUUGUUUUUUAUUGUAUUAUUAUUUGUGUUUUGUGCGUUUGUAUUUUCUUGCCAAGUUUUGCCCCAAUAGAAUAAACAUAACAUGAAUAAUUUAAUUAGUAUUUCACUUUUCUAGCUGGGAGCACAACACGAACAACAAAAAGCAACCAGAUAAAAGUGAAACUUUGAACAUUAAGUUUGCUAAUAAAAAACAAAAAAUGUGACAUCCCUUAUCGACACUGAAUCCUCUGUGAGGAGUUCAUGUUGAAUUGUUGAGUAUUGACUGAUUUGUAGAGAAAAGAAGGAAAGGAAAAGUAUAAAGUUUCAGCUUUGUAAGAAAACCAAACAAAAAAACAACAACUUGAUAUCAGAGUGAGGAAGAAAGUCACCAUGAGGAAGUUGACGCCUUAAUAAUAACAGGAAGUGGAAACUCUAUUUCUCUUUAAGAAGACGUUGACAGUUGAGAGAGGCCGAACAAAAUGGCUGGAUUACUGCUUCAGAUAACAGGAUACAUAUUUAUACUGUAUAUAAGUAACAGAAACAUUGCAACGUUUGAUUUUAACAGUGAUUUUGGCGGACUCUUGUACGGAUGAUCAUCUGUUGGCUCUAAAAUCAUCCUCACAAUAAAUAUGAACAUAAUUACCUGAUAUUGGGCUGUGGCUCAGGCGGUAGAGCCAUCUUCCAGAAAUCGGGGGUUGGACCCCUUGCCUCUGCAUCCUACAUGUUGGGCAAUUUACUGAACCCCAAUUGUCUCCCAAUGGCUGUGAGGUGGUCCGAUGAGCAAGUGGCACCCUGCAUGGUGGCCUCUGCUGCCACCAUGUGUAUGAAUGUGUGUGUGAAUGGGUGAAUGCUGGCUUCUGUAAAGCGCCUUUUAUUGAUUCAAGACAGAGUCAAGACAGAGUGUUGGAGCCAAACGUUAAAUCAGACCGUAUGAAUCUCUGGAUAUUAAGAAGGUCCCAGUGGAGGAUGCUGGUCAAUAUGGCUGCAGACAGUUCUGAUCAGAACAUCAACAAGGAC
rnacentral:lncRNA from 1 species